GCAUGUGACAUAGAACCUGUACCGGGAAGUCCGUUCUUGACGGUGUUUGGCUUUUCGCCGACGACUCGGACGGACCGGGCCAAAGGACGAUUAUUGUAUGAAUAAGAGCGGAGGGAUGACGACGGAAGGGUACCCAAAACCCGGACGGAGGACGGACCAGAAAAAUAAGCUUUCGAUAUAUUGACGCAAGUGGCGCUACUGUACAAUUGAUGCAAAUUGAUGGUUAGUAGACAGGAAGAGGACAAAGUGUACAGUUUCUUGAGUUUAAUCAAUGCGUUGUAUUUGCCACGGUAAUGAGAUGCACUGAAUGCAGUGGGCACAAUGGAGAAG